rnacentral:rRNA from 1 species
AAUCAACGCUGGCGGCGUGCCUAACACAUGCAAGUCGAACGCGAAAAUCCCGCAAGGGAUCUGUAGAGUGGCAAACGGGUGAGUAACACGUGGGUGACCUGCCUUCGAGUGGGGGAUAACGUCCCGAAAGGGACGCUAAUACCGCAUGACAUCCUGCCCUUGAACGGGUGGAGAUCAAAGCUGGGGAUCGCAAGACCUAGCGCUUGAAGAGGGGCCCGCGUCCGAUUAGCUAGUUGGUGAGGUAACGGCUCACCAAGGCGACGAUCGGUA